CAGCAUUCUCAGGGCGGGGUGAAAUUCCCCACCGGCGGUAUAGCCCGCGAGCGCUUUCAGGGUCUGAAAGGUCAGCAGAUCCGGUGUAAUUCCGGAGCCGACGGUAUAGUCCGGAUGGUAGAGAAUGGGA
rfam:Hoeflea sp. IMCC20628, complete genome.